rnacentral:rRNA from 1 species
GACGAACGCUGGCGGCGUGCUUAACACAUGCAAGUCGAACGGCAAGACCCUGCUUUUGUGGUGUGCUCGAGUGGCGAACGGGUGAGUAACACAUGAGUACCCUUCCCUUGACUUUGGGAUAACUUCCGGAAACUGGGGCUAAUACCGGAUCGGAGCUCCUGCUGCAUGGUGGGGGUUGGAAAGUUUGGGCGGUUGGGGAUGGUUUCGCGGCUUAUCAGCUUGUUGGUGGGGUAGUGGCUUAACAAGGCUUUGACGGGUAGCCGGCCUGAGUGGGUGAACGGCCACAUUGGGACUGAGAUACGGCCCAGACUGCUACGUGAGGCAGCAGUGGGGAAUAUUGCACAAUGGGCGGGAGCGUGAUGCAGCAACGCCGCGUGCGGGAUGACGGCCUGCGGGUUGUAAACCGCUUUCGCCUGUUACGAAGGGUGAGUGACGGUAAUGGGUAAAGAAGCACCGGCUAACUACGUG